UACGAAGGGGGCUGGCGUUGCUCGGAAUUACUGGGCGUAAAGGGCGCGUAGGCGGAUCGUUAAGUCAGAGGUGAAAGCCCAGGGCUCAACCCUGGAAUUGCCUUUGAUACUGGCGAUCUUGAGUACGGGAGAGGUGUGUGGAACUCCGAGUGUAGAGGUGAAAUUCGUAGAUAUUCGGAAGAACACCAGUGGCGAAGGCGACACACUGGCCCGUUACUGACGCUGAGGCGCGAAAGCGUGGGGAGCAACAGG
rnacentral:rRNA from 1 species